rnacentral:rRNA from 1 species
GAUGAACGCUGGCGGCGUGCCUAAUACAUGCAAGUCGAGCGAAUGGGUUGAGAGCUUGCUCUUAUGAAGUUAGCGGCGGACGGGUGAGUAACACGUGGGUAACCUGCCCAUAAGACUGGGAUAACUCCGGGAAACCGGGGCUAAUACCGGAUAACAUUUUGAACCGCAUGGUUCGAAAUUGAAAGGCGGCUUCGGCUGUCACUUAUGGAUGGACCCGGGUCGCAUUAGCGAGGUGGUGAGGUAACGGCUCACCAAGGCAACGAUGCGUAGCCGACCUGAGAGGGUGAUCGGCCACACUGGGACUGAGACACGGCCCAGACUCCUACGGGAGGCAGCAGUAGGGAAUCUUCCGCAAUGGACGAAAGUCUGACGGAGCAACGCCGCGUGAGUGAUGAAGGCUUUCGGGUCGUAAAACUCUGUUGUUAGGGAAGAACAAGUGCUAGUUGAAUAAGCUGGCACCUUGACGGUACCUAACCAGAAAGCCACGGCUAACUACGUGCCAGCCGCCGCAGUAA